CUUUGCCCCAAGCGUCUCAGCUGCCUGAGAGGGAAAUUGAGGCCUAAACAGCCAAAGUGGCAAGCCUUCUAAUAUCAAAGGAAUGACUGACCAUGAUUGCACUGGGGUCGUAUCUACUUUGGUAUUUUCCUGUGUGGAAGCCUCAGCGGAGUUCUGUGCCUUCAGGAUUCUACCUCCAUGCCAUGUUGACUCUGAAGGGAAGUUGAAAGCAAUCUGUCAAGAAGUGACUGAUGACUGAUGCACAUGGAAAGAGAAACGUCGACCCGAUGGGCUGCUCCAGAUUAAUGACCUAGAGGUGGCAAGGGACGUUUACACGGCCUCUGAUGCGCCCUUUGCUGUUGCCAUGCAACAAUAUGUCACCGGCUGA
rnacentral:lncRNA from 1 species